UACGUAGGGUGCAAGCGUUGUCCGGAUUCACUGGGCGUAAAGGGUGCGUAGGUGGUCAGGUAAGUCGGAUGUGAAAUCUCCGAGCUCAACUCGGAAACUGCAUUGGAAACUACCUGGCUCGAGGGUUGGAGGGGGGACUGGAAUGCUUGGUGUAGCAGUGAAAUGCGUAGAUAUCAAGCGGAACACCAGUGGCGAAGGCGAGUCCCUGGACAACUCCUGACACUGAUGCACGAAAGCUAGGGGAGCAAACAGG
rnacentral:rRNA from 1 species